AGAGUUUGAUCCUGGCUCAGGACGAACGCUGGCGGCGCGCCUAACACAUGCAAGUCGAACGAGCGAGAGAGAGCUUGCUUUCUUGAGCGAGUGGCGAACGGGUGAGUAACGCGUGAGGAACCUGCCUCAAAGAGGGGGACAACAGUUGGAAACGACUGCUAAUACCGCAUAAGCCCACGGGUCGGCAUCGACCAGAGGGAAAAGGAGCAAUCCGCUUUGAGAUGGCCUCGCGUCCGAUUAGCUAGUUGGUGAGGUAACGGCCCACCAAGGCGACGAUCGGUAGCCGGACUGAGAGGUUGAACGGCCACAUUGGGACUGAGACACGGCCCAGACUCCUACGGGAGGCAGCAGUGGGGAAUAUUGCACAAUGGGGGAAACCCUGAUGCAGCGACGCCGCGUGGAGGAAGAAGGUCUUCGGAUUGUAAACUCCUGUUGUUGAGGAAGAUAAUGACGGUACUCAACAAGGAAGUGACGGCUAACUACGUGCCAGCAGCCGCGGU
rnacentral:rRNA from 1 species